rnacentral:rRNA from 1 species
CCUCGGGGCGCAGCAGUGGGGAAUAUUGGACAAUGGGGGGAACCCUGAUCCAGCGACGCCGCGUGAGUGAAGAAGUAUUUCGGUAUGUAAAGCUCUAUCAGCAGGGAAGAAAGAAAUGACGGUACCUGACUAAGAAGCCCCGGCUAACUACGUGCCAGCAGCCGCGGUAAUACGUAGGGGGCAAGCGUUAUCCGGAUUUACUGGGUGUAAAGGGAGCGUAGACGGCGAUGCAAGUCUGAAGUGAAAGCCCGGGGCCCAACCCCGGGACUGCCCUUGGAACUGCUUGGCUGGAGUGCGGGAGGGGG